GGGGUUGUGGCUCAGUGGCAGAGCACUUGCCUAGCAUGUAUGAGGCACUGGGUUCGAUCCUCAGCACCA
rfam:Ictidomys tridecemlineatus contig047332, whole genome shotgun sequence.